rnacentral:rRNA from 1 species
CUGGCGGCGUGCCUAACACAUGCAAGUCGAGCGGGAAAUUAUCGAAUGAAGCUUCGGCAGAAUUUGAUAAUGGAUAGUGGCGAACGGGUGAGUAACGCGUGAGGAACCUGCCUCAAAGAGGGGGACAACAGUUGGAAACGACUGCUAAUACCGCAUAAGCCCACGGCUCGGCAUCGAGCAGAGGGAAAAGGAGUGAUCCGCUUUGAGAUGGCCUCGCGUCCGAUUAGCUGGUUGGUGAGGUAACGGCCCACCAAGGCGACGAUCAGUAGCCGGUCUGAGAGGAUGAACGGCCACACUGGAACUGAGACACGGUCCAGACUCCUACGGGAGGCAGCAGUGGGGAAUAUUGGGCAAUGGGCGAAAGCCUGACCCAGCAACGCCGCGUGAAGGAAGAAGGUCUUCGGAUUGUAAACUUCUUUUAUCAGGGACGAAGGAAGUGACGGUACCUGAUGAAUAAGCCACGGCUAACUACGUG